UUUUUUUUUUUGCUUUUCUUGAACCCCGAACAAAUAUUUUCUUUCGCGCGGAUGAUCCCGGAUCACCGCAUUUGAACCCCGACAACUUCAUAUUACUCUUGUUUGCCAAAUCAUGAACCUCGUUCUCAUUUUGCUUUUCUUGAACCCCGAACAAAUAUUUUCUUUCGCGCGGAUGAUCCCGGAUCACCGCAUUUGAACCCCGACAACUUCAUAUUACUCUUGUUUGCCAAAUCAUGAACCUCGUUCUCCAUUUUCAUGUGAUAAUUCCAUUGGCCAUGUCGGAAAUAACACCAACCACCACUCUGAUGGCGACAUAUCAGAGGGUAUUC
rnacentral:lncRNA from 1 species